rnacentral:rRNA from 1 species
UACGUAGGGUGCGAGCGUUGUCCGGAAUUAUUGGGCGUAAAGAGCUCGUAGGCGGUGUGUUACGUCGGCCGUGAAAACCUGCAGCUUAACUGUGGGCGUGCGGUCGAUACGGGCAUCACUGGAGUUCGGCAGGGGAGACUGGAAUUCCUGGUGUAGCGGUGAAAUGCGCAGAUAUCAGGAGGAACACCGGUGGCGAAGGCGGGUCUCUGGGCCGAUACUGACGCUGAGGAGCGAAAGCGUGGGGAGCGAACAG